rnacentral:tRNA from 1 species
GGGUUCAUAAUCUAAUGGAUAAGAUAUAUGCUUUCUAAACAUAGAAUGCAGAUUCGAAUUCUGCUGAACCUA